rnacentral:rRNA from 1 species
UACAGAGGGUGCAAACGUUGUUCGGAAUUACUGGGCGUAAAGGGCUCGUAGGCGGCCAACUAAGUCGGACGUGAAAUCCCUCGGCUUAACCGAGGAACUGCGUCCGAUACUGGAUGGCUUGAGUUCGGGAGAGGGAUGCGGAAUUCCAGGUGUAGCGGUGAAAUGCGUAGAUAUCGGGAGGAACACCAGUGGCGAAGGCGACUACCUGGCCUGUUCUUGACGCUGAGGCGCGAAAGCUAGGGGAGCAAACGGG